CAACCCGAAUGACCCUAAACAUCACAAACAGCUUGCGAUCAUAAGGUGCAUUUGAGUCCAUGCGUUUUAGUUGACUACAUCAGUUAGACACAGUUUCAUCAUCAUGUAAUCAUAUAAAUAUCUGUAACACAGCUUCUUUAGCCUAAUGCAAAGCUGUGAGUGUGUAACAACCCGAGCCUCCGUCUGAGCAGAUCAAAAUAACCUGAUGUGUUAAUCUCCUCUGCAUCCUGGGACACAACCUCCCUGCAGCGCAUGUGAUCUCAUUAUAAGCCAUAUUGUAAUUUGAUAUUCUGUACUAGGUUUGCCUCGUGAAGAGUUGAAGACCUUCAUCUGAUGAAAUAUGGACGGAUCAUUCAGCUGUUUUGAGGCCUCAGCAGGUCCCAGUGCUGGGCUCAGCAGUCAACCACCCGCCUGCUGGCACUCGUUAGGCUGAUUACCGUCCUUUUUUCUGGAGGAUGACUCCUCUGUGGGGGUUUAUCCUCACGGGGACACGAACCAGCGAGCUCCCAGCGGCCGCGUUUCCUGUGCAUUCACCGUAUCGACGAGCCUCCUCUUUCUCACCAGCGUUCAUACAGAGGCUCACACAGCAACGCAAAAGUGCACACGGGGACACGGACAUCCAGACAUUUGUGAGCCAGAUGAUCCUUAAAUCUAAAUUAAUGAGAUCACUUUGACUUAGGGUUUUUUUUUUUUUACUCAGCUUGGAACGAAGUCAAGAACUUUAAUAUCUGGUGGCUGCUCUGCACAGUUCUGUAAACACUGCGGCACGUGUGCGUAUUAUAUUUUACUCACAGAUGAAGAACAACACCUGAGCAGUCGCCGUUUCACAGGAUGACCUGGUUUAAUCUUGAAGAAGGAUUAGUGUAAGACAAUAAGUUCAGCAGCGGCGUCUUCUCUGAUGUCGGGACUCUUCCUCCAGCUCCACAGACACGAGGUCGUCUCAGGUCGUGUUCCACAGUCGGAGUCCAACGCGAGCAGCGACUCCCUCGUUCCGGGAACGUCCUCUGAGCGGCUGAUCUGCAGCGGCCUCACAUUUCGCUUUUCACUGCCGUAUAAAUUCUUUCGCAAUCGUGGGCCGAUCGCGGAGCUCUGAAUGUGGCUGGAGGUGAUUUAAAGAGGCUGCGUCCUCCCGUCUGACGGCCAGGAGGAGCCAGCCCAGUUUAAUACUUUCUGCCUCAGCUUUCCAGAAUAAUAACAACCUACCUGGGCCAAUAAGCGGUUUUGCAGCGACGCUUUGACAAGAUAUACGAUGUUUGGUUCCACAAACUGACCAUUUAAGCCUGAAAAACAUCAGCGGCAUCUGAACGCAGCCCAACAAAUAUGUAAUUUGUGGGCCUCAAAUAUGAAAGUUUAUUUAUUCAUUGGUUUGGAUCAGAACUCCUGAAAUUGUAAUGACACAAACCUUUAGGGUGUAAAUAAGUGUUUAAAAUUGAUUUGUGUGAAUUGUUAAAUACAGUCCACAGAUUAUGAGCCAAUGACGAUAUAUUGGCAUGAAUCAAGCACCUGUCAUGAAGUGGCCUCCAGCUUUAACAACUGCUGUUUCUUGAUUUCAUCACAGGCUGGUUUUUAUUAAUAAAUUAAUCAAACAGC